rnacentral:rRNA from 1 species
AGUGAACGCUGGCGGUAGGCCUAACACAUGCAAGUCGAACGGCAGCACAGUAAGAGCUUGCUCUUACGGGUGGCGAGUGGCGGACGGGUGAGGAAUACAUCGGAAUCUACUUUUUCGUGGGGGAUAACGUAGGGAAACUUACGCUAAUACCGCAUACGACCUACGGUUGAAAGCAGGGGAUCUUCGGACCUUGCGCGAUUGAAUGAGCCGAUGUCGGAUUAGCUAGUUGGCGGGGUAAAGGCCCACCAAGGCGACGAUCCGUAGCUGGUCUGAGAGGAUGAUCAGCCACACUGGAACUGAGACACGGUCCAGACUCCUAAGGGAGGAAGCAGUGGGGAAUAUUGGACAAUGGGCGCAAGCCUGAUCCAGCCAUACCGCGUGGGUGAAGAAGGCCUUCGGGUUGUAAAGCCCUUUUGUUGGGAAAGAAAAGCAGCAGGUUAAUACCCCGCUGUUCUGACGGUACCCAAAGAAUAAGCACCGGCUAACUUCGUG